rnacentral:rRNA from 1 species
GAUGAACGCUGGCGGCGUGCCUAAUACAUGCAAGUCGAGCGAACAGACGAGGAGCUUGCUCCUCUGACGUUAGCGGCGGACGGGUGAGUAACACGUGGAUAACCUACCUAUAAGACUGGGAUAACUUCGGGAAACCGGAGCUAAUACCGGAUAAUAUAUUGAACCGCAGGGUUCAAUAGUGAAAGACGGUUUUGCUGUCACUUAUAGAUGGAUCCGCGCCGCAUUAGCUAGUUGGUAAGGUAACGGCUUACCAAGGCAACGAUGCGUAGCCGACCUGAGAGGGUGAUCGGCCACACUAGAACUGAGACACGGUCCAGACUCCUACGGGAGGCCACAGUAGGGAAUCUUCCGCAAUGGGCGAAAGCCUGACGGAGCAACGCCGCGUGAGUGAUGAAGGUCUUCGGAUCGUAAAACUCUGUUAUUAGGGAAGAACAAAUGUGUAAGUAACUAUGCACGUCUUGACGGUACCUAAUCAGAAAGCCCCGGCUAACUACGUG